CUAUUUCUCUAGUAAUUCUAAGAAUCAUCCUAGUGAUGACAUGUGGCUAAAAAAGAAGUUGUAAUGUUUCACAAAUAAUAUAUAGGGGAUAUUAAAUAUAGAUUUUUGGCUUAGUCCAACCAUAAUAUUUUUUUUACUAAUAAAGUAGGUUUUUUUCUUUUUUUUUGGAGUAUUUUUCGCUAUAUGUCAUCCUAUCAUUCGCUGAUAUUUCGAAUUGGGCUUUGACUUUUUUUUAUUUGAGCUUCUGUUUUCUAUUUAAGUUGAUUUCGAAAGUACAAAAGGUUUCAGUCAUUUAUUUGGUCCGACGGAAAACGAGAUUAGUAAAGUCGUUGGCCCAUUUAAAUUUAUUUUGAGUUUUUAAUAUUUCAUCAAAAUAGGUUAGCAUGCCCACCACCGAAACAUUUUGUACCUUUGUCUCUAGAGAUUCCAAGCUGCCUUCAGAUGUUUGUGACCGAUGAAUUAGUUUAAUGCUCCACUCUCCGUCUUUUAAUUGAUAGAGGUUAAUGAUGGAAUCGACAACUUCUUUAUCCUUUCAGCUUCUUUCAUUUUUUCAUUUUCCUCAAACACUUUAUAUGGAGUUGCAGAAGACGGCUUAGCUCAUCUUAUCAUCUCCCUAUCAACUCAGAGAGCAUGGAAGGAUCUCCUGUGCUUGCUUUGAUGAUGUACGAGGCAUCAUUCCUGGUCUACAGGAACAUACUACAAGACUCUUGAUGGGACUUGCAUACAUGAUUAUGUCACAUACUUCGUUGAUGCGCUCAUGUUAAAGUUCUUGUAAAGGCUAAGCCUCGCAAAAUUGGAAUCUUCAAUGUUGGUACCAGGAAAGGUAGGUCCGUGGAGGAGAUUGUUGAAGCCUGCAAAAAAAGCCACAGCGCUCGAUUACUUGGAAAGAAGGGCAUGCUAUUAGUAGAGGUACUGGUAGAGGUACUCAACCAGACUAAGGGAUAUGAACUCGCCAAAAGGGAGAAAUGGUGGAUUGAACAGUGACACAAGAGGGGCGGAAAGUCGCUUGAUACUACCAAACUUCAGUUGUUGCUUGAUAUGACGCACAAGUCAAACAAAAGAAAGGUUUCUAUACGUUGCUUGAUAUGACGCACAAGUCCAACGAAAUAGAGAAGUUUACUUGGAGCUAACCACACCAAGAAACAAGAAGUGUUCUACAAAUAACAAAGGAUAUAAACUCAAUAAAAGGGGAAAAAAGGUUGUCUUAUUUCGUGGCUCUUAGGCCUUAUUUAUAGGAUUACAAGUUGUAGAUAUUCAAAGAAGAAUGUGCUAAAAACAAGUCAUUGAAAAUGGAAGCAAAGACUUGACUAAAUAAAGUCUUUGACUGAAACUUGGACUGCCUCUUGAUAUAGCCACGACCAGGACUUUGAAAAGUGAAGAAUAUGCUCAUGAUAUGGGCCAAGACAUGUCCCUUUGAGGCCUGGUCGAAAUCCAUCUUUUCCCUUAGCCAAUAUUUUAUCGGUUUUUCCAUUUGGCCCAAACAAGUCUGUUUUUGAAUCUUUUUGAAAACCAUCAAGCCCAAGACUUUCUUGGACAUUUAGAACAUGAAUAAUCACCUUUGGCAUGAUUUAAUUGGUCGUUGGUUCAUCAGAAAGAAGAUUGGCCAUUUCUAGCUUUUCGGGUGGUCUGAAUUCGCGAGAACUGAAAAUUAUCUGAUUUGUAUAUGGCAUAACUGUCACAUAUGAACUCCGUUUGAUCUGAUUCUUCUUCGAGGAGCUCCGUAAUUGAGUUGAGAACAUUCUCCAAGUGAUUUCAUGCGUAGAAUCCUCGUGGUUUUGAAGAUAUAAGUCAAACAAUGAACAUAUAUCUUUACUGCUUCCCAUGAUCAAGUCAUGCAUGUCUGUUUUGCCCGGUGCGCUACCCAAGGGCGCAUCAUUCCCUCCAUCUUGAAAAGGAUUUGACCUCAAAUCCAUUUUACCUGUAUCAAAAGGAAAUGAAUCAGGCAAAAAGAAUCUAAAGAACAUGUAAAAUUUAGUGAAGGAAAAUUUUGGAAAGAAACUUCCUUGGAGUUUUGAUGUCAUUUUCCUUGAGUACAUGCAUCUCCAAACCUCAGGCUGAUAAGCAUGGUCUAUGCUUUUAUUCCUUAAACUUCUUUGAGACUGAACAUGUUUAUCCUGGACACAGAAUACCAGGAUCAUAUGUGCAAGACAUGUACCUGUUCAGAUCAGAAACCAAAGUUUCUUUCCCUAGAACAUGUAGCACACGUUUCAGAUCAUCAUGAAGCCCAUCAAAGUAAGUGUUGUACACCAGAAUGGUGUCAGGGCACGUGAUAGCACCGUUCCUAAAGAACAAAUUCAAAACAUGCGCAAGUUUCUCAUAUUUAGAACACAAAAGAUCAAUUUCAAACCGAUAAUUACUUAUCCAAGGAUCAGUAUGUUUAUCAAAUAAGGUGUUGUAAAUCAGAAUGUUUUCAAGGCAUGACAUACCAUUAAACAUUUCCAAAUAUGCCUAACAUGAUCAGAAUCAGGACACAAAAUUUCAAGAUCAGAUUCAGAAUAAGAAUGAGCAGGUUUCAAAACAAAAUCACAACAAAAAUCGGUUUUAGCUCUAAGUGAUUUUGUUUUCUGCAAAUUACUAAACAUAAGCUCUUUUCAGGCACGUGUUGGAGAAAACAAAUCAUCAGUGAUCAGUUCAUGACUAGGAAAACUCAGUUCAAAACCAUUAUCCUUAAAACAAACAAAGGAAUCACAAGGUUUUCGGAAACAGAAAUUUGGUUGUUGCAAAACAAGCUCAAAUGAUUUUUCAAGAUGAUCAAAGCAUUUGCUAUGUUUCAAAAACUGAUCAAAGCUCAAAACAAGAUAAAAAGGGAUGUCAUUGUCAUCUUGAACACAUUUUUGAUCAAAGAGUUUAUCAGGUUCAAGUUUCUUAAAAGAAUGAAUCAUGUUAUCAAAAAUAGAAUUUGAAACACACAAAAUUCUUUUAUUUUUUCAAGACCAAAACAUUUUCUGUCACUGGAACUGACUUUAACAAACAAAUCAUGUACAUAACAGAUGAUGCCAAGUUCCUUACAGUGCUCUUGUGGAUUAGGAGACAAAGGGGCAUGAGUUGUGCCGGGAUCAAAGCAAAGAUGAUUCUCCAUGUUGAUGGAUGUGAUGCUUGGUGCUUUCUCUUCAAGGAUUGGACCAAGUUCGUUUUCCUCAUCUAAGAUGGGACCUAGAUCAUCAUCCAUGGGUCUCCUAGUGUCAAGAAGAGGUCCUUGUUGUGGGUAGUUGAAUUGCUCUUCCUCAAAAUCCUGUGAAACUAGAACAACACUACUCGGAUGCUCCGGUUCAAAACUGGUUAGUCCAUUAGUCUCUUCAUCAUCAAACAUAAAAUCAGAUUUUGCAGAAGGAAGAUCACAUUCAUCCUCAUAAAUGAUCAAACUUUCCAACAACUUUUCAUUAUAUUCAUAAAAAAUUGGUAAAGAAUCUGAAAAAUCUUUUAGAUCUUCAAGGUUGUUUUCAAAUUACCUUUAGGUUUUUCAUUGAUGAAUAAUGAUGGUUCAGCUACAGGUGCACAUGUGGUUGUGCUCUUCUUGUGGCUUUUGCUGACGUCUUUGAGUGCUUUCACCACUCCCUCUACAAGAUUGUCACAAAACUCUUGGAUUUCAAACUGACUGAAAAGUCUUCUUUGAACAGCUUCAUCUCUGAACGUUUUAAACUGUUCCUUGCACCUCCGGUUAGGCAUCUCAUGUGGUUUUCUUUGGGUUAGUCUUUCCUGCACAGGAACAAAAUCAUCAAAAACAUUCAACAAGUUUUGAGAUGAAGAAUGAUAAUUAGCCUGUCGUUGGAAUUUCUCUUGGCCACUCUUCUUGUGAAGUCCAAACAUCUUAACCUGAAAAAUCUCAACAUAAAAGGUUAACAUAUAAAAAUAAUCCUCACACUCUCAAGUGUUUAUCUCACCCACACAAGUGUUUCUCUCAGAUUUAGUGGUCACUCAAGAGUCUCCUCUCAAAGUUCUAAGAGAACAAAUCAAGUAACCCAAUGGAUUUUUUCAAGCAAGCAAGAGAUGAAACACAAGAUAGAAAGAUAAGAGAAUUAAAUUUUGAAAUACGUAUUAACCAGUCUAAGGCUGGAUUUUUCCUCAGCCUGCAAAAUUUUUCUUCCAACACCUAGCCAAAUAAAUCAAAACAUUUCGAUUUUUUUUCUUUUUUUUAUAGAUCUUUUCUUUUCUUUUCUGUUAUUUUUAAUAGAAGAAUGGCGAUAGGUAAGGUAGUGGCCCAGAUUUGAGAAAAAAAGAAGAAGAAGAAGAAGUGUUUAUAAAUGGAAGAUGAGAAAGAUAGAUAUAUAGUACCGGUUGAGUGGCUCUGAUACCACUUGAUACGCCCUAAAUUAGGGAAAUGAUCACUCAGCCAGACUAAGGGAUAUGAACUCGCCAGAAGGGAGAACUGAUUGAUUGAACGGUGACACAAGAGGGGCGGAAAGUCUCUUGAUACUACCAAACUUCAGUUGUUGCUUGAUAUGACACACAAGUUCAUCAAAAGAAAGGUUUCUAUACGUUGCUUGAUAUGAUGCACAAGUCCAACGAAAUAGAGAAGUUUACUUGGAGCUAACCACACCAAGAAACAAGAAGUGUUCUACAAAGAACAAAGGAGAUAAACUCAAUAAAAGGGGGAAAAAGGUUGUCUUAUUUCGUGGCUCUUAGGCCUUAUUUAUAGGAUUACACGUUGUAGAGAUCCAAAGAAUAAUGUGCUAAAAACAAGACAUUGAAAAUAGAAGCAAAGAUUUGACUAAAUAAAGUCUUUGACUGAAACUUGGACUGCCUCUUGAUAUAGCCACGACCAGGACUUUGAAAAGUGAAGAAUAUGCUCCUGAUAUGGGCCAAGACAUGUCCCUUUGAGGCCUGAUUGAAAUUCAUCUUUUCCCUUAGCCAAUUUUUUAUAUGUUUCUCCAUUGGCCCAAACAAGUCUGUUUUUGAAUCUUUUUGAAAACCAUCAAGCCCAAGACUUUCUUGGACAUUUAGAACAUGAAUAAUCACCUUUCGCAUGAUUGAUUUGAUCGUUGGUUCAUCAGAAAGAAUAUUAGCCUUUUCUAGCUUCUUUGGUGGUCUGAAUUUGCGAGAACUGAAAAUCACCUGAUUUGUAAAUAGCAUAACUGUCACAUAUGAACUCCGUUUGAUCUGAUUCUUCUUCGAGGAGCUCUGUAAUUGAGUUGAGAACAUUCUCCAAGUAAUUUCAUGCGUAGAAACCUCGUGGUUUGGAAGAUAUGAGUCAAACAAUAAACAUAUA